UGGGGAAUAUUGCACAAUGGGCGAAAGCCUGAUGCAGCGACGCCGCGUGAGGGAUGACGGCCUUCGGGUUGUAAACCUCUUUCAGCAGGGAAGAAGCGAAAGUGACGGUACCUGCAGAAGAAGCGCCGGCUAACUACGUGCCAGCAGCCGCGGUAAUACGUAGGGCGCAAGCGUUGUCCGGAAUUAUUGGGCGUAAAGAGCUCGUAGGCGGUUAGUCGCGUCUGCUGUGAAAACUCGAGGCUCAACCUCGGGCUUGCAGUGGGUACGGGCUGACUAGAGUGCGGUAGGGGUGACUGGAAUUCCUGGUGUAGCGGUGGAAUGCGCAGAUAUCAGGAGGAACACCGAUGGCGAAGGCAGGUCACUGGGCCGCAACUGACGCUGAGGAGCGAAAGCAUGGGGAGCGAACAGGAUUAGAUAGCCCUGGUAGUCCAUGCCGUAAACGUUGGGCACUAGGUGUGGGUCCAUUCCACGGAUUCCGUGCCGCAGCAAAGCGCAUUAAGUGCCCCGCCUGGGGAGUACGGCCGCAAGGCUAAAACUCAAAGGAAUUG
rnacentral:rRNA from 1 species